GCGGGAGUAGCUCAGUGGUAGAGCACUAGCUUCCCAAGCUGGGGGUCGCGGGUUCGAAACCCGUUUCCCGCU
rnacentral:tRNA from 1 species